GCUAUCAAGAUGUGGAGAACAGCAUUGAUGAUCACAAUUUUUGUGUUAACAGCACAUAGUGUUAUCAGAGCUGAGCAAACAACUGAUGUUACAGAUGCCACAGACUCAACGGAUGACUUCACAGCAGAACCAAUUGUUCACAAUGUAAAUGUUUCUACGACCAACACAAUUGAUGGAUUGCCCUCAGAAAUGACCAUUGAAUCAAUUACAAGUAAAACUGUUGAAUCUAUAACCGGUUUAACAGAUGAAUCAACCAAUGAUGACAUAACGAAAAAGACAACAAUGGAAGAAUUUUCAACAUCCUUGUUGGGAAACCCUACCAUAGAUCUUACAGAUCAUUCAACAGAGAUACCACAAUUUACAACAGAAUUUACUGACAAAUCACCAACAGAUUUCACAGAAGCAUCAGCCACUGAUAUUACUGAUAAACCAGCAACCGCAUUUACACUUGAUUCAUCAGAGGAGACUGAAAUAUCAACUAU